rnacentral:lncRNA from 1 species
CAUCCCUUGCAGCUAACAUGAGUGCUUUGCAGAAAGGAAGAACUUAUGUGCCAAGGUCAUUCAGCAAUUUCAUAGCCUCUUACUCCUGGCUGAAAACCAGCCCUGGCCUCUUCUAUCCCAAGAUCUUUAUCAGGAAUUUUCCGUAGCUGCCAGGGCACAGUGUGUUGGAAUGGUGUGGGGAUGCUGGGGAGCUGUGAUUUUUGCCAGGUAGCUGGCGAUUUAAAACUCAGAAGAUAAGAUCUACCCCAAGGGCCAUGGACCUGCUGGGGGGUGGCGUGGGGGAGGCUUUACAAAUCUCACCAUCCCUGCCAAGGUAGAAAACUGGCCCGGAGGAGUCCUUGGCCCCUGAGUCCUUACUUCAAGCCUUCAGCCCUGCUGGAAGCUGGCAGAGGAAAGAAGUGUUUAUGUCUUCCUCUGCCCGCCACUUAAUGUCCAAUAGAGGCAGGAUCUGUGCCAUGGGAAUCCCCAAAGACCCCUUGUAAGCUCGUCUCCACCUGGCUUAGCUCUCCUUGGUUCUAGUCUCCAUUCAUUCCCUGUACAACCAACAAGCACUUAUUGAGCCCGUGUCUGAAACUCUGGUUGGUUGAGAUAGUCGCUGAACAAUCUAUUGUGCGAGGCCCCUGCCUCUGUGGCUGACUUCCUUUCCAAGAAAUUGGAGGGAACACUGCCCCUCCAUGAAAGGGAGCACUGAGGUCUGAGAGCAUCUCCAUGCUAGUAGGGUGACUCUGGGACGGUCUCUAACUGGUCUCAACACCGUCUUCCUAGCUAGACACAUUUGCCCUGGUCUCUCUAGCCCAGAGUACCAGGGGCCAGCUGGGUCUCUUGAAAGCACCCACCAGAGUGCAAUUUCCUGUUGGAGGUAGCAGGGCCUGGAUGCCUUGGGGCAGGUCCUCUAGGGGAUAUGGGUAGACUCUGAGAAGUAGGGCCUGGAGUGCUUUCCUCUAGUUUCCUCUGGAAGAUACUGGAGCCUGAGCCUGAACAGAGUCCCACCAUGAGUAGACAGCAGCCCUCUGACCUUCACCCACCCUAGGUCUCCAUAGGAACAAAGCAGGUAAAAGGCCUCCUCCAGGAAGCCUUCCCUGGUUGUCCACAACACCUUGACCCUUCUCCAGUGGUCCACUCCUCCAGCUGUCUGCUGACCUCCCAGCUGGUCUGGUCUGUUGUAGCUGUAGCUUCCCAUGAGCCCUUGCUCCACCAUGGCUUCUCUGAGUCCCUGGGCUCCUGCUGCCACACAGCAUGGGGUGCUGGCUGGUCUGUUGGACAGUGACAAGAGUCCUCAGAUCUUAUUUUAAAUUCCAUAAACUUAUUUUAAAUUUCAUUAAAAAAAAAUCUUGUGCCACAUGUGGUGGCACACGCCUUUAAUCCCAGUACUUGGGAGACAGAGGCAGAAGGAUCUCUGUGAGUUCGAAGCCAGCCUGGUCUACAAAGUGAAUUAGAGGCCAGCCAGGACUAUUACUGUCUGGAAAAAAAAAAUCUUGCAAGUUAAUAAUAAUAUUCAAACAAAAUUUAACCAUACCCAAGGUCAGUACAACUUAGUGAACUUCUAUACAGUUAGAAUUGGCAUAGAAACAGAAGCUAUAGAGCUUCAUGUUAAAUUUUACACCUUUAGUGUCAAAUGUAUUUUUUGCAAUUGUCCACCAUCC